rnacentral:rRNA from 1 species
UACGUAGGGGGCUAGCGUUGUCCGGAAUCAUUGGGCGUAAAGCGCGUGUAGGCGGUCCGGUAAGUCCGCUGUGAAAGUCGGGGGCUCAACCCUCGAAUGCCGGUGGAUACUGUCGGGCUAGAGUGCGGAAGAGGCGAGUGGAAUUCCUGGUGUAGCGGUGAAAUGCGCAGAUAUCAGGAAGAACACCCGUGGCGAAGGCGGUUCUCUGGGACGGUACUGACGCUGAGACGCGAAAGCGUGGGGAGCGAACAGG